AUCUGGCUGAUUAAAGUCAUUCCUUUGAUAUGCACUAGGGCCAGUAUCCUGUGCUUUCCCAUCCUGAGUUCCCUCAGGGUGCACAUUUGGGGGUGGCUGCAGAGGCCAGACUGGCUGCUUGUCUCCAUCCCGAGUUCCCUCCGCUCAUUGUCUGGGGUGGUGUUGGUGGCUGAUGACUUGAUGGAUGAAGCAUACUUUGUUUACU